rnacentral:lncRNA from 10 species
GCAGCAGCAGAUCUCCCCGCUUUGUGCGGCCGCGCGGCCCGGAGAGCCCCCUCCUCCCGGCCCGGCUGACCGCCCCGCUCGGCCUGGCCUUCCCGGCCACGAAAGACGAGGGUUGGGGGCAUAGCAGGGUGAGAGUAGUGGUGAGGGCUGGUGUGGCACGUGGGGAGGGGGCCAGAGCCCUAGGUGCUGCACCUGGGGAAGGAGAGCAGACGUCGGGACCGGGGAUCCCAGGGUUAGCUAGCGUUUUCCCGGAAGGGCAAGAAAAGAUGCUCCACUGGCCCCCACAAAGCUGACCGGACUCCCUUUUGGGUGGGGACCGGGCGAGUAAAAGCAGCCUUUUGAAUGUUGACUUCUCAAUCCUUUUCAGGAGGCCCUCCGCCUGCCCUACUGAGCGAACCUUUAAGCCCCCAAGCCAGUGUUUUUGGAAAGAGAGUGGUCAAUUUCAGGAGGACAUUAAAAGCCAACCUCCCGGGCUUCAGCCCCAGCUCCUACUGCCUUCCAGCCACUCUCCCCUGCCUUUCCUUUCUGCGGCUCUUAGGAUGUUGUUGCUGCCCUUAAAGGCCGUCGUGUGAGUGCCCUGUCAGAAGAAAGCUUGGUGGUGGUUAGGAUUUUACAGAAGACACACCUCGAGCAUACACAACCUAUGUACUAGCACUAUUCUAACUUUUGGAGAUAAAACACUGCAUAAGUCAGGGCUCCUGGACUAGUGGGGAAGGUGAACCGGUGAAGAAGUCCUCACAGCACACCAUGCUAAGGGCCUGAAUAGGACAAAAGUCUUCUGGCAAGUGACUUUGCUUAGGAGAAUGUGGGAUGGCUUCCUGGAGGAGGUGACAACAGAGCUGGAUUCUGAAGGAUGAGAUUUUGUGAAAAGA